UACGUAGGGGGCAAGCGUUGUCCGGAAUCACUGGGCGUAAAGCGCGCGCAGGCGGCGCUCUACGUCCGGGGUGAAAGCCCAGAGCUCAACUCUGGGACUGCCUUGGAUACGGGGUCGCUUGAGGAUCGGAGAGGCAAGGGGAAUUCCACGUGUAGCGGUGAAAUGCGUAGAGAUGUGGAGGAACACCUGUGGCGAAGGCGGCUCACUGGCCCGAUACUGACGCUGAGGUGCGAAAGCGUGGGGAGCAAACAGG
rnacentral:rRNA from 1 species